rnacentral:rRNA from 1 species
UACGGAGGGUGCAAGCGUUAUCCGGAUUCACUGGGUUUAAAGGGUGCGUAGGUGGGAAUGUAAGUCAGUGGUGAAAUCUCUGAGCUUAACUCGGAAACUGCCGUUGAUACUAUUUGUCUUGAAUAUUGUGGAGGUAAGCGGAAUAUGUCAUGUAGCGGUGAAAUGCUUAGAUAUGACAUAGAACACCAAUUGCGAAGGCAGCUUACUACACAACGAUUGACGCUGAGGCACGAAAGCGUGGGGAUCAAACAGG